AUACGUAGGUGGCAAGCGUUGUCCGGAAUUAUUGGGCGUAAAGCGCGCGCAGGCGGUCCUUUAAGUCUGAUGUGAAAGCCCACGGCUCAACCGUGGAGGGUCAUUGGAAACUGGAGGACUUGAGUGCAGAAGAGGAAAGUGGAAUUCCAAGUGUAGCGGUGAAAUGCGUAGAGAUUUGGAGGAACACCAGUGGCGAAGGCGACUUUCUGGGCUGUAACUGACGCUGAGGCGCGAAAGCGUUGGGAGCAAACAGGAUUAGAUACCCUGGUAGUCCACGCCGUAAACGAUGAGUGCUAAGUGUUAGGGGGUUUCCGCCCCUUAGUGCUGCAGCUAACGCAUUAAGCACUCCGCCUGGGGAGUACGGUCGCAAGACUGAAACUCAAAGGAAUUGACGGGG
rnacentral:rRNA from 1 species